UGCAGUUAAAAAGCUCGUAGUCGGAUGUCGGGCUCGGGCAGGCUGCCGGCUUCGGUCGGACGGCAGGCUCGGGUCUUUCUGCCUGAGGAUCCCGUCACUUGAUUGUGGCGGGGGUCGCAGGCCGUUUACUUUGAAAAAAUUAGAGUGUUCAAAGCAGGCCUACGCUUGAAUACAUUAGCAUGGAAUAAUGGAAUAGGACUUUGGUGCUAUUUUGUUGGUUUAUGGGACCGAAGUAAUGAUUAACAGGGACAGUUGGGGCCGUUUAUAUUUCGUUGUCAGAGGUGAAAUUCUUGGAUUUACGAAAGAUAAACUUCUGCGAAAGCAUUCGGCAAGGAUGUUUUCAUUGAUCAAGAACGAAAGUUAGGGGAUCGAAGACGAUCGGAUACCGUCGUAGUCUUAACCAUAAACUAUGCCGACUGGGGAUCAGUGGAUGUCAAUUUGCGACUCCAUUGGCACCUUGUGAGAAAUCAAAGUUUUUGGGUUCCGGGGGGAGUAUGGUCGCAAGGCUGAAACUUAAAGGAAUUGACGGAA
rnacentral:rRNA from 1 species